GUGGGGAAUCUUCCGCAAUGGACGAAAGUCUGACGGAGCAACGCCGCGUGAGUGAUGAAGGUCUUCGGAUUGUAAAGCUCUGUUAAUCGGGACGAAAGAGCCUAGUGUGAAUAAUGCUAGGAAGUGACGGUACCGGAAUAGAAAGCCACGGCUAACUACGUGCCAGCAGCCGCGGUAAUACGUAGGUGGCAAGCGUUGUCCGGAAUUAUUGGGCGUAAAGCGCGCGAAGGCGGAUCUGCCAGUCUGUCUUAAAAGUUCGGGGCUUAACCCCGUGAUGGGAUGGAAACUACAGAUCUAGAGUAUCGGAGAGGAAAGUGGAAUUCCUAGUGUAGCGGUGAAAUGCGUAGAUAUUAGGAAGAACACCAGUGGCGAAGGCGACUUUCUGGACGAAAACUGACGCUGAGGCGCGAAAGCCAGGGGAGCGAACGGGAUUAGAUACCCCUGUAGUCC
rnacentral:rRNA from 1 species